rnacentral:rRNA from 1 species
CCUACGGGAGGCAGCAGUGGGGAAUUUUGGACAAUGGGCGCAAGCCUGAUCCAGCCAUGCCGCGUGUGGGAAGAAGGCCUUCGGGUUGUAAACCACUUUUGUCAGGGAAGAAACGGUCUGGUCUAAUAAACCGGAUUAAUGACGGUACCUGAAGAAUAAGCACCGGCUAACUACGUGCCAGCAGCCGCGGUAAUACGUAGGGUGCGAGCGUUAAUCGGAAUUACUGGGCGUAAAGCGUGCGCAGGCGGCUUUGCAAGACAGGUGUGAAAUCCCCGGGCUCAACCUGGGAACCGCAUUUGUGACUGCAAGGCUAGAGUACGGCAGAGGGGGAUGGAAUUCCGCGUGUAGCGGUGAAAUGCGUAGAUAUGCGGAGGAACACCGAUGGCGAAGGCAAUCCCCUGGGCCUGUACUGACGCUCAUGCACGAAAGCGUGGGGAGCAAACAGGAUUAGAUACCCUGGUAGUCCACGCCCUAAACGAUGUCAACUGGUUGUUGGGAGGGUUCCUUCUCAGUAACGAAGCUAACGCGUGAAGUUGACCGCCUGGGGAGGUACGGCCGCGAGGUAGAACGUACAAGAAGUAGACGGCGUGAGACGUGCCGACGGACGACGACGAGGGAGGAGG